rnacentral:rRNA from 1 species
UACAGAGGUCUCAAGCGUUGUUCGGAUUCAUUGGGCGUAAAGGGUGCGUAGGUGGCUCCGUAAGUCAGGUGUGAAAUCCCGGGGCUCAACCCCGGAACUGCACUUGAUACUGCGGUGCUCGAGUACUGGAGAGGAGAUUGGAAUUUACGGUGUAGCAGUGAAAUGCGUUGAUAUCGUAAGGAAGACCAGUGGCGAAGGCGAAUCUCUGGACAGUUACUGACACUGAGGCACGAAGGCCAGGGGAGCAAACGGG